UUUAAAAUUUUAAGGGUAUAUGCCGCGGUUCGGAGCCCAACCGCGGCAUAUAAGUUAAAAAAAAUUUCAAAAUUGCCAUUCUGUAUUAUUUUUUUAAAAUGAAUAGGCCGCGGUUAAGUGUAGAACCGCGGCCUAUUCCCCCUUUAUGCCGCGGUUAAGUGUAGAACCACGGCAGAUUCUCCUUCUGAAGGUAAAAAAACAAAAAUCGCGAAACAGUUUCGUCUUCUUCGCGAAACAGUUUCAGACCUUGCUUCUUCUCCAGCGACCCUGUUCUUCCAUUCUCUAUCAUUUUUCAUCGUUUAAACUGCAUUUUGUUCGGUGCAUUUGCCAUUUUUGACGUUGGGAAAGAUUUUUGACCGAUNAGAAUCGUCAUUUUNGACCCUGAGAUCGUGAACUNCAUUUUGUCGCGCCCAUUCCAGGUACUUCCUUUAUGCCCUCGUCAAGUUUUCCAUUAAGCCUCUAUGUUUGCUUUCGUUUCUUGAUGCAUAUGUUGUUGUGGCUUUGAUCAUUUUUGGCAAAUUUGUUGUGGUUUCUGUCGUUCUUGAAGAGGCAAAGUAUGUUAGCUUUUAUUUCAAUGUUUGAUCAUUUUUUAUCAAAUAU
rnacentral:lncRNA from 1 species